UUGUGAGGUUAAGCGACUAAGCGUACACGGUGGAUGCCCUGGCAGUCAGAGGCGAUGAAGGGCGUGCUAAUCUGCGAUAAGCGCCGGUAAGGUGAUAUGAACCGUUAUAACCGGCGAUACCCGAAUGGGGAAACCCAGUGUGACUCGUCACACUAUCAUUAACUGAAUCCAUAGGUUAAUGAGGCGAACCGGGGGAACUGAAACAUCUAAGUACCCCGAGGAAAAGAAAUCAACCGAGAUUCCCCCAGUAGCGGCGAGCGAACGGGGAGGAGCCCAGAGCCUGAAUCAGCAUGUGUGUUAGUGGAAGCGUCUGGAAAGGCGCGCGAUACAGGGUGACAGCCCCGUACACAAAAGCGCAUGUGCUGUGAGCUCGAUGAGUAGGGCGGGACACGUGGUAUCCUGUCUGAAUAUGGGGGGACCAUCCUCCAAGGCUAAAUACUCCUGACUGACCGAUAGUGAACCAGUACCGUGAGGGAAAGGCGAAAAGAACCCCGGCGAGGGGAGUGAAAAAGAACCUGAAACCGUGUACGUACAAGCAGUGGGAGCACCCUUUGGGUGUGACUGCGUACCUUUUGUAUAAUGGGUCAGCGACUUAUAUUCUGUAGCAAGGUUAACCGAAUAGGGGAGCCGGAGGGAAACCGAGUCUUAAUUGGGCGUUAAGUUGCAGGGUAUAGACCCGAAACCCGGUGAUCUAGCCAUGGGCAGGUUGAAGGUUGGGUAACACUAACUGGAGGACCGAACCGACUAAUGUUGAAAAAUUAGCGGAUGACCUGUGGCUGGGGGUGAAAGGCCAAUCAAACCGGGAGAUAGCUGGUUCUCCCCGAAAGCUAUUUAGGUAGCGCCUCGUGAAUUCAUCUCCGGGGGUAGAGCACUGUUUCGGCUAGGGGGCCAUCCCGGCUUACCAACCCGAUGCAAACUGCGAAUACCGGAGAAUGUUAUCACGGGAGACACACGGCGGGUGCUAACGUCCGUCGUGAAGAGGGAAACAACCCAGACCGCCAGCUAAGGUCCCAAAGUCAUGGUUAAGUGGGAAACGAUGUGGGAAGGCCCAGACAGCCAGGAUGUUGGCUUAGAAGCAGCCAUCAUUUAAAGAAAGCGUAAUAGCUCACUGGUCGAGUCGGCCUGCGCGGAAGAUGUAACGGGGCUAAACCAUGCACCGAAGCUGCGGCAGCGAACGUAUCACUUAAAGCGAUUCAGCGGGUUACGAUUGACGGAGCGAAGCGACGUCAAAGCGUAUACAAAGUCGAGUCGGUUUAAGGAUACGUUCGUUGGGUAGGGGAGCGUUCUGUAAGCCUGUGAAGGUGGCCUGUGAGGGUUGCUGGAGGUAUCAGAAGUGCGAAUGCUGACAUAAGUAACGAUAAAGCGGGUGAAAAGCCCGCUCGCCGGAAGACCAAGGGUUCCUGUCCAACGUUAAUCGGGGCAGGGUGAGUCGACCCCUAAGGCGAGGCCGAAAGGCGUAGUCGAUGGGAAACGGGUUAAUAUUCCCGUACUUGGUGUUACUGCGAAGGGGGGACGGAGAAGGCUAUGUUGGCCGGGCGACGGUUGUCCCGGUUUAAGCGUGUAGGCUGGUUUUCCAGGCAAAUCCGGAAAAUCAAGGCUGAGGCGUGAUGACGAGGCACUACGGUGCUGAAGCAACAAAUGCCCUGCUUCCAGGAAAAGCCUCUAAGCAUCAGGUAACAUCAAAUCGUACCCCAAACCGACACAGGUGGUCAGGUAGAGAAUACCAAGGCGCUUGAGAGAACUCGGGUGAAGGAACUAGGCAAAAUGGUGCCGUAACUUCGGGAGAAGGCACGCUGACACGUAGGUGAAGUGAUUUACUCACGGAGCUGAAGUCAGUCGAAGAUACCAGCUGGCUGCAACUGUUUAUUAAAAACACAGCACUGUGCAAACACGAAAGUGGACGUAUACGGUGUGACGCCUGCCCGGUGCCGGAAGGUUAAUUGAUGGGGUCAGCGCAAGCGAAGCUCCUGAUCGAAGCCCCGGUAAACGGCGGCCGUAACUAUAACGGUCCUAAGGUAGCGAAAUUCCUUGUCGGGUAAGUUCCGACCUGCACGAAUGGCGUAAUGAUGGCCAGGCUGUCUCCACCCGAGACUCAGUGAAAUUGAACUCGCUGUGAAGAUGCAGUGUACCCGCGGCAAGACGGAAAGACCCCGUGAACCUUUACUAUAGCUUGACACUGAACAUUGAGCCUUGAUGUGUAG
rnacentral:rRNA from 1 species